UGGAGGCGAGCCCCACGUGGCGUCCAUA
rnacentral:sRNA from 1 species